CAGUAGCCGCGGUAAUACAGAGGGUGCGAGCGUUAAUCGGAUUUACUGGGCGUAAAGCGUGCGUAGGCGGCUUCUUAAGUCGGAUGUGAAAUCCCUGAGCUUAACUUAGGAAUUGCAUUCGAUACUGGGAAGCUAGAGUAUGGGAGAGGAUGGUAGAAUUCCAGGUGGAGCGGUGAAAUGCGUUGAGAUCGGAAAGAACACCAACGGCGAAAGCACUCUGCUGGGCCGACACUGACACUGAGAGACGAAAGCUAGGGGAGCAAAUGGGAUUAGAUACCCCGGUAGUCCCUGUCUCUUAUAC
rnacentral:rRNA from 1 species